UACAGAGGGGGCAAGCGUUGUUCGGAAUUACUGGGCGUAAAGCGUGCGCAGGCGGUUAUGUAAGACAGGUGUGAAAUCCCCGGGCUUAACCUGGGAACUGCAUUUGUGACUGCAUAGCUAGAGUACGGUAGAGGGGGAUGGAAUUCCGCGUGUAGCAGUGAAAUGCGUAGAUAUGCGGAGGAACACCGAUGGCGAAGGCAAUCCCCUGGACCUGUACUGACGCUCAUGCACGAAAGCGUGGGGAGCAACAGG
rnacentral:rRNA from 1 species